rnacentral:tRNA from 1 species
GGAGGGUACGCGAAUGGCUAGCAGCCUGACUCGAAAUCAGGUGCCGGGAAACCGGUUGAGGGUUCGACUCCCUUGCCCUCCG